rnacentral:rRNA from 1 species
GGAUUAGAUACCCUAGUAUUUAUAAUUUGGUAAGAUUAUUAUAAGUGGAGAAAUUUAAAAAUUUUGGCGGUUAAUUAUUGGUUAGAGGAGCUUGUUUACAGAAUUUACUCUUUAUAUUUUAUUAAUUUUUGUUUAUUUAUCUCCGUUAUUAAGUGUUUUGCUUUAAAAGAGAGGGGCUUAUAUUUCAGGUCAAGAUGUAGCUUAAAUUACAUUUAAUUAGCUACAUUUAUUAUAUAUUGUGGACUUGUAUUUAAUAGAAAUAUUUGAUGAAAUUGAAUUUAAUUGUAAUUUUAUUUAUAAAAAUAAAAUGAAAUUUUAUAAUUAAUGUACAUAUUGCCCGUCACUUCUUUUGGUAAAAUAGAAUAAGUCGUAACAA